UACGGGGGGGGGCAAGCGUUGUUCGGAAUUACUGGGCGUAAAGGGCGCGUAGGCGGCCUGCUAAGUCGGACGUGAAAUCCCUCGGCUCAACCGAGGAACUGCGUCCGAUACUGGUGGGCUUGAAUCCGGGAGAGGGAUGUGGAAUUCCAGGUGUAGCGGUGAAAUGCGUAGAUAUCUGGAGGAACACCGGUGGCGAAGGCGGCAUCCUGGACCGGUAUUGACGCUGAGGCGCGAAAGCUAGGGUAGCAA
rnacentral:rRNA from 1 species